CUCUCUAAACCACCGAGCUUUCAUUUUUCAAUUUCUUUGAAGAGAAAAUGGAGAGCACGGCCACCAACGACCAGGGCCCUCUUUUGGGUUCUCCGAUAAAGACCCAACACACGAAGAACGAAGAUCGAAGGCUCUCUUCGGCGUCAGAACAUCCCCGAGCCAGUAAGGAAUUCCCUAAUGAACGGAGACCUACACUCCGACAACGACAUGAUCAACAAAAGAAACGCUUGGUGUAACAGUUUGUACGAAUGGGAAAGGACAUACUCUCAGCUUGUAACUGAUACAACCUAUACAGGCUGUUGACUUGCUGUAGUGCUGCUGACGGCAAAAUUAGGGUAUUACAAGUACUUCCACAGGUACCUUCCAAGGAUGACAUCGUCGGUUAGAUGCAACCAUCCAAGGCCCAUAGAUAUCUUCUACCGGUCUGAACCAGAACCAUCUACUUUUCAUUCAGACCAUCUUUAUCGGUAAACGUCACACACAAAUCCUGACCAUGACCGUAAACCCCGCAUUUAAAACAGAUUUGUUGGAGGUUCGAAUAAAUCUAUCAAUGCCGAUACAUGGUAAUAACGACUUAUUAAGAUUGACAACCACGACCA